AGUCUCUAAGCUUCAGUUACACAGGAAUCGUACCCGAAACCGACACAGGUGGUCAGGUCGAGUAGACCAAGGCGCUUGAGAGAACUCUGCUGAAGGAACUAGGCAAAAUGGUACCGUAACUUCGGGAGAAGGUACGCUGUUGUUGGUGAUGGAACUUGCUUCCUGAGCUGACGACAGCCGCAGAAACCAGGCCGCUGCAACUGUUUAUUAAAAACAUAGCACUCUGCAAACACGAAAGUGGACGUAUAGGGUGUGAUGCCUGCCCGGUGCUGGAAGGUUAAUUGAUGGGGUUAGCGUAAGCGAAGCUCUUGAUCGAAGCCCCAGUAAACGGCGGCCGUAACUAUAACGGUCCUAAGGUAGCGAAAUUCCUUGUCGGGUAAGUUCCGACCUGCACGAAUGGCAUAAUGAUGGCGGCGCUGUCUCCAGCAGAGGCUCAGUGAAAUCGAAAUCGCUGUGAAGAUGCAGUGUACCCGCGGCUAGACGGAAAGACCCCGUGAACCUUUACUGCAGCUUGACACUGAACUUUGACCUUACUUGUGUAGGAUAGGUGGGAGGCUUUGAAGUUGGAACGCUAGUUCCAAUGGAGCCGUCCUUGAAAUACCACCCUGGUAAUGUUGAGGUUCUAACUCUGUCCCGUUAUCCGGGACGAGGACCGUGUCUGGUGGGUAGUUUGACUGGGGCGGUCUCCUCCUAAAGAGUAACGGAGGAGUACGAAGGUGCGCUCAGCGUGGUCGGAAAUCACGCGUAGAGUAUAAAGGCAAAAGCGCGCUUAACUGCGAGACCCACAAGUCGAGCAGGUACGAAAGUAGGUCUUAGUGAUCCGGUGGUUCUGUAUGGAAGGGCCAUCGCUCAACGGAUAAAAGGUACUCUGGGGAUAACAGGCUGAUACCGCCCAAGAGUUCAUAUCGACGGCGGUGUUUGGCACCUCGAUGUCGGCUCAUCUCAUCCUGGGGCUGAAGCAGGUCCCAAGGGUAUGGCUGUUCGCCAUUUAAAGAGGUACGCGAGCUGGGUUUAGAACGUCGUGAGACAGUUCGGUCCCUAUCUACCGUGGGCGCUGGAAAUUUGAGAGGAUCUGCUCCUAGUACGAGAGGACCAGAGUGGACGAACCUCUGGUGUACCGGUUGUGACGCCAGUCGCAUCGCCGGGUAGCUAUGUUCGGAAGGGAUAACCGCUGAAAGCAUCUAAGCGGGAAGCCUACCUCAAGAUAAGAUUUCCCUAGGAAUUUAUUCCUCUAAAGAGCCGUUCGAGACUAGGACGUUGAUAGGUUGGAUGUGGAAGCAUAGUGAUAUGUGAAGCUGACCAAUACUAAUUGCUCGUGAGGCUUGACUAUACAACACCCAAGCAGUUG
rnacentral:rRNA from 1 species